UAAUAUCUCGUGUGUAUUUGGAAAUAUAUUCUAUUUAUCCUCAGUGAACAUGUCAACCUGUAGAAUAUCUGCUGAAUAUUUUAAGUGUUUUUUAAUCCUGUGACUAAAUCUCAGAUGUUAUAUAAUAAAUCAUUUCUUUAUUCUAAUACAUAUUUAAAUUCUCCAUCUUUCUUUUGGAUAUAAUCAUAUCUAGUUUUAUCUCCUCUGUCCAACUGCUCUUGCAAUUUCUCUUACUGGAUGAUUUGACUAUACACUUACGACUGUGAAGGAUUAAACCUUCACUCAGGAACUAUAAAUGGAGUUUGGACGCCUGGGGAUGGAUUUGUCCAAACACCCUGGAGAGGACAGGGAGAGACUGGUUUCAGCAGAUAUUUUUCUUUUUCUAUCCAGUAGAGAAGAAGAAACUCUGAAUCUGAUCUUCUGCACAACAACCAUAGGAUAAACCCAUCCAUUUCAGCUCUGUCACAUUCAGAAGCAACAUGCAGAUCCUUGUCUUUGUUUCUGCAGACGUUAAUUAUUUAUUUAGACUUUAUUUAGUCAGAAAGCUCCUGUUGAGAUCCAAUAUGUCCUCCACAGGGGAGGCCAGUUUAAUGCUGGGAGUCCGACUGGCUGCAGGUCCGUUUAGUUCUUCAGACACAUCCGUCACUGCCAGUCAUGACAGAAAUGUGUUCAGAUCUGCAAAAUGGAUCCUGUUAGCCAACAAAAGCAGAUUUCUGAGUGACAUUGAGUUUUUAAAACUGGGUCAUUUUUUUUAUUAUUAUUAUUUUGCUUGUUGGGGUAAGUUAUUUAUGUGCAGUUACUGUUUAGGUAAAUCUGUGGUAAAAAGAAUGACAUGAAUUUC